AGACCAGCCUGCGCUACACGAUAGUCACACGGUUUUCCUGAAACAUAAGCCAAUGAAGAGAGAAUUGGAAAAAUAACAAAAACAACCAAACCCUGCAGAGCGGAAAGCGGGCACCGAGGGGCCGCUGACUCAGCAGCGCUGAGGACACUGAAACCCGGGUCUCUUCACGAAGCGCAGGUGCCCCUGGGGCGCGGCCCUCCUCGGGAUGAGUCCUGCUCGAAGUUCCAGCGUCCAGUGAGCUUCCCACUGCCCCAUCCAGACUACACGUGAACAGCUAAGAACCCGCAGGUUUUCCAGGAAAGCCAGACACAUGGACCACCGCCACCCACAGACAGGUGAAAGGCAGGCUCGGAGAAAACAGCGCACGCGCGGAGAGGAAACUGCUCACUAGCAAGAUCCGCGGGAGAGAGGUGAUACUGCACCCGAGAAAGAGCAGUGCGUAAGAA